UGAGCAUCGCAGAUAAUUAUUAGGAAUGAU
rnacentral:piRNA from 1 species